CAAUCAAAACAAAAAAAAGAAACAACAAUUAACCUUUAAUUAUCUUUGGAUCAGAUGAUCGAGAUAAUAUUCAUAAAUCUAUUGACAUAAAUAGUUAAUUUGAUUGGUAGUGAUCGAAAAUUUCCCUUAAUUGCAAACAAUUAAUGCGAAGAAUUAAUUCCAAGGAGUCGCCAUCUAGCGAGUGAAACAAAUUCAAUUUUCUUCAAAAUUCACUUCAAAUUAACUUUAAUUGUGAGCAAUUUAUUUUUAUUUUGGGUUUGAUUCUAAUAACUCUCUCUCUCUCUCUCUUUCAGGGUUACGACAUUGUCCAGUGUAAGCCUUGUCCAUUAGUUGGACGUUACCUGGUCAUUCAAAAACAAACCUCCAAAGAUGAUUAUCAACUAUCAGCUGAUUCCGUUCAAAUUUUUGGAUUUGAAACUUUAUUCACAUCAUGAUUAAGGAUUGUCACCAACAGGAUUUAAAGUUAAUCUUUAUCCUUGAGAUUAAAGUUGAGGGAAUAAAAAAAAAUACUAUCAAUAAAAUCAUCAUUUAUUUCUUGAUAAAUUGUUAAUUUAUGUUGACACAAUUUAGUUGAUUAAAAUGAGUUUAUUUUAGAUUGUUUAAUUUUAAUCAUUUAAAUAUUUGUUACAAUUAAAGUCACAAUUAGAUACAUUA